rnacentral:ncRNA from 1 species
UAGCCUUUUUAUUAGCUAUUUGUAAACUUAUACAUGCAAGCAUCCCCACACCAGUGAGAUUACCCUCUAGAUCUACCAAGGUCAAAAGGAGUUGGUAUCAAGCACACUACAAAGUAGCUCACAACACCUUGCUUAGCCACACCCCCACGGGAAACAGCAGUAAUAAAAAUUAAGCAAUAAACGAAAGUUUGACUAAGUUAUACAAUUUAUAUAGGGUUGGUAAAUCUCGUGCCAGCCACCGCGGUCAUACGGUUGACCCGUGCUAAUAAACAUGCGGCGUAAAAGUGUUUUAGUAAAUGCUAUAAAUUAGGUUAAAUUUUACCUAAGCUGUAAAAAGCUUUAGGUAUUAAUAUAAAUCAAAAACGAAAGUAACCUUAAUAUAUCUGAACACACGAAAGCUAAGACCCAAACUGGGAUUAGAUACCCCACUAUGCUUAGUCGUAAACAAAAAAACUUAGACAACAAGAGUUUUCGCCUGAGGACUACCAGCAACAGCUUAAAACUCAAAGGACUUGGCGGUGCUUUAUACCCACCUAGAGGAGCCUGUUCUAUAAUCGAUAAACCCCGAUACACCUUACCACCCCUUGCUAAUUCAGCCUAUAUACCGCCAUCUUCAGCAAACCCAAUCAUGGAAUCAAAGUAAGCAUAAACACCAUACAUAAAAACGUUAGGUCAAGGUGUAGCCAAUGGGGUGGAAAGAAAUGGGCUACAUUUUCUUAUAAAAGAACAAUUUAACGGAAGCCUUUAUGAAACCGAAAGGCCCAAGGAGGAUUUAGUAGUAAACUAGAAAUAGAGAGCUUAGUUGAACUAGGCCAUGAAGCACGUACACACCGCCCGUCACCCUCCCCAAGUAUUCAAAUAUUUUAAUAAUAAAUCAUAAUAUACAAGAGGAGACAAGUCGUAACAAGGUAAGCAUACUGGAAAGUGUGCUUGGA